rnacentral:rRNA from 1 species
GGGUGAGUAAUGCCUAGGAAUCUGCCUGGUAGUGGGGGACAACGUUUCGAAAGGAACGCUAAUACCGCAUACGUCCUACGGGAGAAAGCAGGGGACCUUCGGGCCUUGCGCUAUCAGAUGAGCCUAGGUCGGAUUAGCUUGUUGGUGAGGUAAUGGCUCACCAAGGCGACGAUCCGUAACUGGUCUGAGAGGAUGAUCAGUCACACUGGAACUGAGACACGGUCCAGACUCCUACGGGAGGCAGCAGUGGGGAAUAUUGGACAAUGGGCGAAAGCCUGAUCCAGCCAUGCCGCGUGUGUGAAGAAGGUCUUCGGAUUGUAAAGCACUUUAAGUUGGGAGGAAGGGUUGUAGAUUAAUACUCUGCAAUUUUGACGUUACCGACAGAAUAAGCACCGGCUAACUCUGUGCCAGCAGCCGCGGUAAUACAGAGGGUGCAAGCGUUAAUCGGAAUUACUGGGCGUAAAGCGCGCGUAGGUGGUUUGUUAAGUUGGAUGUGAAAGCCCCGGGCUCAACCUGGGAACUGCAUCCAAAACUGGCAAGCUAGAGUACGGUAGAGGGUGGUGGAAUUUCCUGUGUAGCGGUGAAAUGCGUAGAUAUAGGAAGGAACACCAGUGGCGAAGGCGACCACCUGGACUGAUACUGACACUGAGGUGCGAAAGCGUGGGGAGCAAACAGGAUUAGAUACCCUGGUAGUCCACGCCGUAAACGAUGUCAACUAGCCGUUGGAAUCCUUGAGAUUUUAGUGGCGCAGCUAACGCAUUAAGUUGACCGCCUGGGGAG